rnacentral:lncRNA from 1 species
ACAUCCAUGUGGAAAUCGCGGUGAUGGGAACUGGAAAUGAAAUAGGUUCUUUUUCGCAGUUGUUUUUCUGCAGAAAAUCAUCAACUGUGGAGAAGAAGAAGGGAAAUAAGAAAGAAAGAAAACCCUAAAAACCACCCUGGCGCCCGGGCCCGCAGGCCUCGGGCCGGCUCUGAAAAGUUUGGGCUGUGCACGUGAUGAGCGCGUAGGCGGGAGCCCCAGACAGGACCCGGGCGGGCAUUUCGAGAAAAAGCAGCGGUGACAGCCUUUGGUCCCCAUCUCCAUUGUUCCUGCCAGCUCUGGACCCCAGGCUGCAUGAGACAGUUGGCCUGUUUCCUCUCAUCUCUGGCUCCAUGACUUCAAUCCUCCUGCAGCUUCCACUGCCCCUAUCUGGCUCAUGUCUUGCUGUCUGGUGUCAUGAACUGGGAGUGCAGUAAAGAGGAGUGACAAGCCUGAGGGGCCACGUUCAUACCUGCCACUGCCAACUGUCCUGAUGUAACUGCUUUGUCAUCUUGCCUGCCAGGAUUUGUGACAAGGGACCUCAGAUCCUUUACAUGUGUUAUCUGGACUGAAUGGAGAAACCCAAGACCCACCAUGGUGGAGGGACAACUGAAGUCCUUAGUGACCCAUCUAGUUUGGGGUCUCUAUAAUCCUGCUCCUUUGGCUGCCAGCCAUCUCCAUAAAAAAAGAAUUUGAAAGGCUUCCAUUCUUUCAGAGACCUGUUUCCCGGGACUGGCUGCAAGGGAGAGAUGCACUGACCUUCUGCCAGGUAUAGAACUAUUGAAUGGUACAGUUUGAGAUCUUCGAAACCAUCAGGACUGAUCAUUUUCUGGCUACUUUCUACAUAGGAAUCCUAGAGUUCCUUGGAGAGGAUAUGAAGGUUAUUCUCAGGCCAUGCAGAUGGGCAAGAAAGGAUGUGCGUCCAUGGUUCCUCUUCAAAUCCAACCAAAACAGCCUUGCUUCCGUUGGCUUUAUAUAAUACUGCAACUCUUGAUAAUCUGAUUUAACACAAAUUUCCUCAUUGAGUUUCUCCUCAUGAAGAAACGGCCUCAGUGAGGUAAAUCGGAAUGCACAGGAGCACAUAGCAGGUUAGUGCAGACCAGAAAUCAAACCCAGGCUUUCUGACUGCUCAAUAGACCACAAUCUACCAUGCUACCAUGGAAACUUUAAAACAGAUGAAAGUAAAAACAAACAAACAACAACUUAAAAAAACAAAAACAAAAACAAAAGCAAAACCCAGAGCCUCUCUAGGAAAUACCAACGUGCUUUUGCCAAGUGGGGUUUCUCUCACUUCAUAAGAGCAGUAAACACUAAACCAAGGGAAUGUGAAUUUAGAGGUUAGAAAAGAUAACCAGAGAUUUGGCCGUGCGUGGGGCUCAUGCCUGUAAUCCCAGCACUUUGGGAGGCUGAGGCUGGUGGGUUGCCUGAGGUCAGGAGUUUGAGACCAGCCUGGCCAACAUAGUGAAACCCUGUCUCUACUAAAAAUACAAAAAUUAGCUGGGUGUGGUGGCGUGCACCUGUAAUCCCAGCUACUAGGGAGGCUGAGGCAGGAGAAUCGCUUGAACUGGAGAGGUGGAGGUUGCAGUGAGCCGAGAUGGUGCCAUUGCACUCCAGCCCGGGCAAGAAGAUUGAAAUUCCAUCUCAAAAAAAAAAAAAAAAGAAGAAGAAGAAGAAAAGAUGCCAGAGAUUUGGCGGGGUGCCGGGCUCAUGCCUGUAAUCCCAGCACUUUGGGAGGCCAAAUGGACAGAUCACUUAAAGUUAGGAGUUCCAGAAAAGAUGCCAGAGGUUGGGCCUUUACAUUGUUUUGUAAAUUCGUCAAACCUUAAUCUUAUUUAACUUCCCCACCUAUACAAAAAUUAAUGCAGUAAUUGCUUUUUAAGGAAGCAUUCCAAAGGCCAAAUAAUUCAUAUAUGUCAAGUACCCUGGGAUUCAGGAAAGAAAAAUUCUCUAUAGCUCUAAAGCAAGGAUUAUAAUUUGAGGUUUCCUGACAGUUUUUUUUAAGAAAAGAAAUACCAACCUUUCUUUUCUGGGCCAAAUGCCAAGGUAGGUAAUAACCCCUUGCCCAUUUUCUUUCCCCAAGCUGUUUUAACUAGAUAAGAGCUCUGCCUUCAUUUCCUUUUGUGAACUGACUUGGGAUGUUGCCACAUGCCCUUCAACUACUGUCAAUGCUCUAGUUUGCUGAGUGCUUUCCCCUUCAGAAUGGAAAAGGUUUUGGCAUAAAUAUCUAGCUUUCUUCAAGGUACAAAAUGCUUUCCAAGGAGCAGAGGACAGAGGGAACAAACUUUCAUGUUUCCCAAUUGUAUUAGUCUGUUCUCAUGCUGCUAAUAAAGACAUACCCAAGACUGUGUAAUUUAUAAAGGAAAAAGGUUUUACUGACUCACAGUUCCACAUGGCUGGGGAGGCCUCACAAUCAUGGUGGAAGAUGAAGGAAGAGCAAAGGGAUGUCUUCCAUGGCCAGCAAAAAGAGAAUGAAAGCCAAGGGAAGGAGAAAACACCUUAUAAAAUCAUCAGAUCUCAUGAGACUUAUUCACUACCAUGACAACGGUAUGGGUGAACUGCCCCCAUGAUUCAGUUAUCUCCCACCGGGUCCCUCCCACAAAAUGUGGGAAUUAUGGGAGCUACAAUUCAAGAUGAGAUUUGGGUGGGGACAGAGCCAAACCAUAGCACCAAUACUAGAUCCCUCAGCUUCAAGGUGGCUCCAGUGAUCCUAAGAGGAUCAAGGAAGCCCUACCUCCCUGCUUGUCCUGGAUGUCUCUGACACAUGUUAAGGGAAAAGCAUUAAUAAAGUGCUCAAGAAACAAUUGUUCAAUAGGUCAGUCUUAUAGUCAAUACCUCAUCCCAUGCUCUGUCCCCUACUCUUUGAAAAACUGCCCAAAGAAACAAUGGAUCCACGGAGUCACAAAAACAGGGCAUCCAGUGACCCUCCCCAUCUUACCAGCAAUGUGACUUUCCCACAGUAUAACGACAGCAGUGCCCAGAGCCCAAUACAAGCAGGGCUCUACACUGAGACAGAGCUGAGUUCUAGUAGCAACUACCCUCCUUAUAGCAGUGUUAUUUUAGGCAAGUUUCUCAGCUUCUGGAAGGUUCUUUUCUCAGGCUUACAUACUUUUUACCCGAAAAGAUCUUGGAGUCGUCCAUAUCAGCACAAGCAAUCUACAUUAUUAGUUUUUUUAAUGGCUGCACAGCAUUCCAUGAUAUGGCUGUACCAUUACUUAACUAUCGAUGAACAUUUAGGCAGUUUCCAGUCUCUUUCUGCAGGAGCCAAUGCUGCAAUGUGGUGGGUCAUAACUUUUUCUUUUUUUCAAAUGUGGUCUCACUAUUUCUUCCAGGCUGGAGUGUAGUGGUAUGAUCACAGCUCACUGCAGCCUCGAACUCCUGGACUCAAACAAUCCUCCUGUCUCAGCCUCCAGAGCAACUGGGAGUACAGGUGUGUGCCACCAUGCCUGACUAAGUUUUUAAAUUUUUUGUAGAGAUGGGGUCUUGCUAUAUUGACCAGGCUGGUCUUGAACUUCUGGCCUCAAGAAAUCCUCCCACCUGGGCCUCCCAGAGUGCUGGGAUUACAGGAAUGCACCACUGUGCCCAGCCCUAAAUAACUAUUUUUAUUUCCCUUUCUGUAACCGCUCAUCUUUUGUGCAUUUUUCCUUGGGUAUUGGCCUUCUUAUCAAAGUUUAAGAACUGUUUAUAUAUAGGGAUUAACCCUUAGUCUGUUGUAUGAAUUGCAAAUAUACAUGUAUUUUUAUUUGUAUAUGCAAAGUUUGUCUUUUAUCUUUGUAUAUGGGAUAGUUUUCCAAACACAGUUUUAUUUUAUUUUAUUUUUCAUCUUGCAUGUCUUUCCAAAGUACCAAGCAGAGUUUUUUUAAAAGUUGUUUUAUGGCUUCUGGGUUUUUUAAGUCAUAUUUAGAAAGAUCUUUCCCACUCUGAAAUUAAAAAAAUAAAUAAAUAAAAUCUCCCAAUUAAAAAAAAUUUGUGACUUUGUUUUUCAUAUUUAAAUAUUUAUUCCAUCUGGAAUUUAUUUUAUUUUAAGCUGUAAAGUAGAGACCUCAUUUUAUUGUAUUUCUCCAUAUGGCCACCCAGUUGUUACAAUACCAUUUACUAAAUAAUACAUCAAUUG